AGAAAUACCUAUAUUACAUUUUAUAUAAAUACCAUGAUUUUAAAUUAAUCAUUACAUGUUUUUUACUGAACUAGAAAUGGAAGUAUUAAUUUAUACCAGAUAAUAGUUCUGUCAGAUAUGUUUAUUACACAAAUAUUUUGAUUUAUUUAGAGAUCAGGUGUGUCUUAUAUUCUAAACACUAGCUUUAAAACAAUGGCGAGUGCAGAAGCCAUGGCACUGGGAGCUAGGAAGACCUUCUGUCCACAUCCUAGCCUGUUCUCACACUGUGGCUUCAUCUGCAAACAGUCCUUCUGAGGAACAACUUUUCUCUUGUGGAAAAGCCAAGCUUCUCCUGUAGCCCUAAGCAACCAUUAAUUUAAGUAAAGAGUGUAUAAUGCUACCCUUGAAGGAAGAGCUUCAAGCACACAAAGAUUACAUCAAGUGAGUACAUACUUUUGAAAAUUUGGAAGUAAGAUUUGUUUCUUCCACUCUUGAUGUUACUAAACAUAGUUUAAUGACCCCAGAAUCUUGAUUUAGGAAUAAAAUUAUUCACUUCUAUCUUGAAAAUCAGUUGCUAUGAUAAAUAUCAGUCAAAUAUUUCUCAAAAUUUUAAAAAUAUAUUUUAUUUUUCAGCAAAGAUGUCAAGGAAAUUAAGCUUGCCAACUGAUCUAAAGCCUGAUUUAGAUGUGAAAGACAAUUCCUUCAGCAGAUCUCGGAGUUCAAGUGUGACCAGCAUUGACAAAGAGUCCCGGGAAGCCAUUUCUGCUCUUCAUUUCUGUGAGACUUUCACAAGGA
rnacentral:lncRNA from 1 species